rnacentral:rRNA from 1 species
GGAGCGUGGGGCUAUCAUGCAGUCGAGCGGACUAUAGGGAGCUUGCUCCCUGAUAGUCAGCGGCGGACGGGUGAGUAACACGUGGGCAACCUACCUUUAAGACUGGGAUAACUUCGGGAAACCGGAGCUAAUACCGGAUAACAUGUAAGACCACAUGGUCUUACAUUAAAAGAUGGCUUCGGCUAUCACUUAUAGAUGGGCCCGCGGCGCAUUAGCUAGUUGGUGAGGUAAUGGCUCACCAAGGCGACGAUGCGUAGCCGACCUGAGAGGGUGAUCGGCCACACUGGGACUGAGACACGGCCCAGACUCCUACGGGAGGCAGCAGUAGGGAAUCUUCCGCAAUGGACGAAAGUCUGACGGAGCAACGCCGCGUGAACGAUGAAGGCUUUCGGGUCGUAAAGUUCUGUUGUUAGGGAAGAAUAAGUACCAGAGUAACUGCUGGUACCUUGACGGUACCUAACCAGAAAGCCACGGCUAACUACGUGCCAGCAGCCGCGGUAAUACGUAGGUGGCAAGCGUUAUCCGGAAUUAUUGGGCGUAAAGCGCUCGCAGGCGGUCUUUUAAGUCUGAUGUGAAAGCCCACGGCUCAACCGUGGAGGGUCAUUGGAAACUGGGAGACUUGAGUGCAGAAGAGGAGAGUGGAAUUCCACGUGUAGCGGUGAAAUGCGUAGAGAUGUGGAGGAACACCAGUGGCGAAGGCGACUCUCUGGUCUGUAACUGACGCUGAGGAGCGAAAGCGUGGGGAGCGAACAGGAUUAGAUACCCUGGUAGUCCACGCCGUAAACGAUGAGUGCUAAGUGUUAGAGGGUUUCCGCCCUUUAGUGCUGCAGCUAACGCAUUAAGCACUCCGC